rnacentral:snoRNA from 1 species
GCCAGGUAAGGGCAAUACCUUGGCCAGAGCUCUGGCCCAGGUUUGGGGGCUCAAGGAGCCAGGGAAGUCCCUACAACCUCAGCUCUUGGC